AUUAAAGUAACAAAGGGCACACAAGGGAUGCCUAGGUAGAAAGAGCCGAAGAAGGACGUGGUAAGCUGCGAUAAGCUUGGCGAAGUUGCAAACGAACGUGGAUGCCAAGAUUUCCGAAUGGAGCAAUCUGUAAAGAGUCAUGUCUUUACACGAAAGAGGGAACCGGGUGAACUGAAACAUCUAAGUAAUCCGAGGAAAAGAAAGUAACAACGAUACCCUAAGUAGCGGCGAGCGAACGGGGUAGAGCCUAAACCGUAUUCAUGUCAAGGAUGCAGCCGUUGUGGAUAUGGGGUAGCGGGAAAGAGAGAGAAAGAACUGCAAGCUAUUUCGCAGACGUAAGCAAAGGAACAAGAAAGAUCUGGAAAGGUCUACCGUAGAAGGUGAAAGUCCUGUAUUGGUAGUUUUCUUGCGCUGUAUCUCUUCUCCCAAGUAAUGUGGAACACGAGGAAUUCUGCAUGAAUCUGCGAGGACCAAAUCUCGUAAGGCUAAAUACUCUUUCUAACCGAUAGCGCAUAGUACCGUGAGGGAAAGGUGAAAAGAACCCCGGGAGGGGAGUGAAAGAGAACCUGAAAUUGUGUGCUUACAAGCGGUCAGAGCCACUUCGGUGGUGAUGGCGUGCCUUUUGGAGAAUGAUCCUGCGAGUUACGUUUCAUGGCGAGGUUAAGAAGAACGGAGCCGAAGGGAAACCGAGUCUGAAUAGGGCGCAAGAGUCGUGGAGCGUAGACGCGAAACCCGGUGAUCUAAGCCUGUCCAGGAUGAAGCUGUGGUAAGACACAGUGGAGGUCCUAACCCACCGCCGUUGAAAAGUUGGGGGAUGAGGUAGGUUUAGGGGUGAAAAGCCAAUCGAACCGGGAGAUAGCUCGUUCUCUCCGAAAUGCAUCUAGGUGCAGCCUUGCGUGUUUAAUGAUGGGGGUAGAGCACUGACUGAACUAGGGGGCAUAUAGCUUACUGAAUUCAAUCAAACUCCGAAUACCAUUAUUCAAGAGCGCAGGAGUGAGACCAUGGGAGUUAACUUCCAUCGUCGAAAGGGAAACAACCCAGACCACCGGCUAAGGUCCCAAAUCAUAUCUAAGUGGGAAAGGAGGUGGAGAUUCUUAAACAACUAGGAGGUUGGCUUAGAAGCAGCCAUUCCUUGAAAGAGUGCGUAAUAGCUCACUAGUCGAGAGUCUCUGCGCCGACAAUGUAACGGGGCUAAGAUAUGAACCGAAGCUGUGGAUGUCGUAAGACAUGGUAGGAGAGCGUUCUGUAGGCCGUGGAAGGAGGACUGAAAGGAACUCUGGAGGUAUCAGAAGUGAGAAUGCAGGAAUAAGUAGCGAGAAGGGGAGUGAGAAUCUCCCCCGCUGGAAGACCAAGGUUUUCAGGGUAAAGCUUGUCUUCCCUGAGUAAGCCGGGACCUAAGCCCAGGCUAGAAUGCGUAGGCGAAUGGAAAACAGAUGAAUAUUUCUGUGCCAGUUCUACUUUGUGAAGGAGGGACGCAGAAGGGUAUGCGCGCAGACGAACGGAAGAGUCUGUAGAAGCAUGUAGAGUGACUUGGUAGGCAAAUCCGCCAGGUUAGACUUAAGGUGUGACAUAUACUCGCAAGAGGAAUGCGCAAAUCCCACGCUGCCGAGAAAAGCUUCUAGCGGUAAAGUAGAGACUGCCCGUACUGGAAACCGACACAGGUGGUCAGGAUGAGAAAUCUAAAGCGGACAGGCUAACUCUCGUUAAGGAACUCUGCAAAAUGGCCCCGUAACUUCGGGAGAAGGGGUGCCUUUAGGCGUGA
rnacentral:rRNA from 1 species